ensembl:rRNA 5S_rRNA 5S ribosomal RNA
CCCGACUGCAUCCAUACAUCUGCACUGAGACCGGUUACUCACUGAAGCUAAGCAGGGCUGAGCCUGGUUAGUACCUGGAUGGGAGACCACUAGGGAACACUAGGUUGCUGUUGGAA